rnacentral:rRNA from 1 species
UGGCGAACGGGUGAGUAACACGUGGGCAACCUGCCUUUCGGAGCGGAAUAGCCUCGGGAAACCGGGAGUAAAGCCGCAUAACAUUAUUUUUUCGCAUGAAGAAAUAAUCAAAACUCCGGUGCCGAAAGAUGGGCCCGCGUCCUAUUAGCUGGUUGGUGAGGCAACGGCUCACCAAGGCGACGAUAGGUAGCCGGUCUGAGAGGGCGAACGGCCACACUGGAACUGAGACACGGUCCAGACUCCUACGGGAGGCAGCAGUGGGGAAUAUUGCGCAAUGGGGGCAACCCUGACGCAGCAAUACCGCGUGAGUGAAGAAGGUUUUCGGAUCGUAAAGCUCUGUUAUUGGGGAAGAAGAAGUGACGGUACCCAAUGAGGAAGUCCCGGCUAAUUACGUGCCAGCAGCCGCGGUAAUACGUAAGGGACGAGCGUUGUCCGGAAUUACUGGGCGUAAAGGGCGCGUAGGCGGUUUUAUAAGUCAGAUGUGAAAGGUACCGGCUCAACCGGUGACGUGCAUUUGAAACUGUAAGACUUGAGUACUGAAGAGGCAAGCGGAAUUCCUAGUGUAGCGGUGAAAUGCGUAGAUAUUAGGAAGAACACCGGUGGCGAAGGCGGCUUGCUGGGCAGAUACUGACGCUGAGGUGCGAAAGCAUGGGGAGCGAACAGGAUUAGAUACCCUGGUAGUCCAUGCCGUAAACGAUGAAUACUAGGUGUUGGCAGUUAUGUCAGUGCCACAGUUAACACAAUAAGUAUUCCG